rnacentral:rRNA from 1 species
GGUGAAAAGCACCCCGGAAGGGGAGUGAAAUAGAACCUGAAACCGUGUGCUUACAAGUAGUCAGAGCCCGUUAAUGGGUGAUGGCGUGCCUUUUGUAGAAUGAACCGGCGAGUUACGAUUUGAUGCAAGGUUAAGCAGUAAAUGUGGAGCCGUAGCGAAAGCGAGUCUGAAUAGGGCGUUUAGUAUUUGGUCGUAGACCCGAAACCAGGUGAUCUACCCUUGGUCAGGUUGAAGUUCAGGUAACACUGAAUGGAGGACCGAACCGACUUACGUUGAAAAGUGAGCGGAUGAACUGAGGGUAGCGGAGAAAUUCCAAUCGAACCUGGAGAUAGCUGGUUCUCUCCGAAAUAGCUUUAGGGCUAGCCUCAAGUGAUGAUUAUUGGAGGUAGAGCACUGUUUGGACGAGGGGCCCCUCUCGGGUUACCGAAUUCAGACAAACUCCGAAUGCCAAUUAAUUUAACUUGGGAGUCAGAACAUGGGUGAUAAGGUCCGUGUUCGAAAGGGAAACAGCCCAGACCACCAGCUAAGGUCCCAAAAUAUAUGUUAAGUGGAAAAGGAUGUGGCGUUGCCCAGACAACUAGGAUGUUGGCUUAGAAGCAGCCAUCAUUUAAAGAGUGCGUAAUAGCUCACUAGUCGAGUGACACUGCGCCGAAAAUGUACCGGGGCUAAACAUAUUACCGAAGCUGUGGAUUGUCCUUUGGACAAUGGUAGGAGAGCGUUCUAAGGGCGUUGAAGCAUGAUCGUAAGGACAUGUGGAGCGCUUAGAAGUGAGAAUGCCGGUGUGAGUAGCGAAAGACGGGUGAGAAUCCCGUCCACCGAUUGACUAAGGUUUCCAGAGGAAGGCUCGUCCGCUCUGGGUUAGUCGGGUCCUAAGCUGAGGCCGACAGGCGUAGGCGAUGGAUAACAGGUUGAUAUUCCUGUACCACCUAUAAUCGUUUUAAUCGAUGGGGGGACGCAGUAGGAUAGGCGAAGCGUGCGAUUGGAUUGCACGUCUAAGCAGUAAGGCUGAGUAUUAGGCAAAUCCGGUACUCAUUAAGGCUGAGCUGUGAUGGGGAGAAGACAUUGUGUCUUCGAGUCGUUGAUUUCACACUGCCGAGAAAAGCCUCUAGAUAGAAAAUAGGUGCCCGUACCGCAAACCGACACAGGUAGUCAAGAUGAGAAUUCUAAGGUGAGCGAGCGAACUCUCGUUAAGGAACUCGGCAAAAUGACCCCGUAACUUCGGGAGAAGGGGUGCUCUUUAGGGUUAACGCCCAGAAGAGCCGCAGUGAAUAGGCCCAAGCGACUGUUUAUCAAAAACACAGGUCUCUGCUAAACCGUAAGGUGAUGUAUAGGGGCUGACGCCUGCCCGGUGCUGGAAGGUUAAGAGGAGUGGUUAGCUUCUGCGAAGCUACGAAUCGAAGCCCCAGUAAACGGCGGCCGUAACUAUAACGGUCCUAAGGUAGCGAAAUUCCUUGUCGGGUAAGUUCCGACCCGCACGAAAGGCGUAACGAUUUGGGCACUGUCUCAACGAGAGACUCGGUGAAAUCAUAGUACCUGUGAAGAUGCAGGUUACCCGCGACAGGACGGAAAGACCCCGUGGAGCUUUACUGUAGCCUGAUAUUGAAAUUCGGCACAGCUUGUACAGGAUAGGU